rnacentral:rRNA from 1 species
AAGCGUGAUGCAGCCAUGCCGCGUGUGUGAAGAAGGCCUUCGGGUUGUAAAGCACUUUCAGUCGUGAGGAAGGGGUAGUAAUUAAUACUUGCUAUCUUUGACGUUAGCGACAGAAGAAGGACCGGCUAACUCCGUGCCAGCAGCCGCGGUAAUACGGAGGGUCCGAGCGUUAAUCGGAAUUACUGGGCGUAAAGCGUACGCAGGCGGCUUGUUAAGCCAGAUGUGAAAUCCCCGGGCUCAACCUGGGAAUGGCAUUUGGAACUGGCAAGCUAGAGUUUUGUAGAGGGUGGUAGAAUUUCAGGUGUAGCGGUGAAAUGCGUAGAGAUCUGAAGGAAUACCAGUGGCGAAGGCGGCCACCUGGACAAAAACUGACGCUCAUGUACGAAAGCGUGGGGAGCAAACAGGAUUAGAUACCCUGGUAGUCCACGCCGUAAACGAUGUCUACUAGUUGUCUGUGAGUUUAACUCGUGGGUAACGCAGCUAACGCAUUAAGUAGACCGCCUGGGGAGUACGGCCGCAAGGUUAAAACUCAAAUGAAUUGACGGGGGCCCGCACAAGCGGUGGAGCAUGUGGUUUAAUUCGAUGCAACGCGAAGAACCUUACCUGCCCUUGACAUACUGAGAAUUACCAGAGA